CCAAAAUAAAAGCUUGAUGAGGUCAGUGUGUGUUUAUAGUGUCAAAUAAUGAAUAAAAACCAUCUCAUCCGGGUAAAUGGACUCUUGGACAUGGAUUGGACUAAAAGUGUGUGUCAAAAUAAGUAAUUUCAUUGGUUACAUUUUCGUGUCGUGACCUAUCAACACAUGGUUCAUUUUAAUAUUCAAAUGAGCCAUGUUUUGAUUGCCACGUGAUCACCGCAGUUGCUACCACCAGGCUGUCAAUCAAGCUCUCAGCUACAGAGAACGUAACGUGAGUAACGCUUUAUAUAAUGGAAUGAAGAAAGGAGGGGGACUGUCCGUGCUCAUAAACAACAGGUGGUGUAACGGCGGGCACGUCUGUGUGAAAGAGCGUCUGCAGCCCGGACAUCAAGCUCGUCGUCGUCGGAUUUCGUCCGUGUUAUUUGCCCUGGGAACUUUCCAGUGUUGUCGCCAUCACUGUCUAUAUUCCUCACAGUGGUCUUCAUCAUCACCAUCACUGUUUACAUUUAUGAUGUCCUAUUUAUUCUCCUGUACAGCACUUUGGUCAACUUUGGUUGUUUUUAAAGUGCUUAACAAAUAAAGUUGGAUUGGAUUGGA